rnacentral:rRNA from 1 species
GUUUUAGUGGCGAACGGGUGAGUAACGCGUUGGUGACCUGCCCCGAAGAGAGGGAUAACAGUUCGAAAGGAUUGCUAAUACCUCAUGUGGUUAUAUGGUUUAGAAGCUUAUAACUAAACGGAUUUAUUCGCUUCGGGAGGGGCCUGCGCCCCAUCAGCUAGUUGGUAAGGUAAUGGCCUACCAAGGCGAUGACGGGUAGGGGACCUGAGAGGGUGGCCCCCCACAAUGGAACUGAAACACGGUCCAUACACCUACGGGUGGCAGCAGUAGGGAAUAUUGGUUAAUGUGGGAAACCGCGAACCAGCAACGCCGCGUGCACGAUGAAGGCCUUCGGGUCGUAAAGUGCUUUUAGAGAGGAUGAGGAAGGACAGUACUCUCUGAAUAAGCCUCGGCUAACUACGUGCCAGCAGCCGCGGUAAAACGUAGGAGGCGAGCGUUAUCCGGAUUUACUGGGCGUAAAGCGCGUGUAGGCGGUCUGACAAGUUGGAUGUGAAAGCUCCUGGCUUAACUGGGAGAGGUCGUUCAAAACUGUUAGACUUGAGAGUGGUAGAGGGAGGUGGAAUUCCGGGUGUAGUGGUGAAAUGCGUAGAUAUCCGGAGGAACA